GUGCUCACUUCAACAGCACAUAUGUCCUAAAAUUGGAACGAUACAGAGAAGAUUAGCAUGGCCCCUGCACAAGGAUGACAAACAAAUUCAUGAGGCGUUCCAUAUUUUU